CAACGUCUAUAUCCCUUUUUGCCUCUUUCGCUUCUCCCUCUUCGAAAGAACUGCAAUGCCUCGGAACUGCAAUCGAUGUUUUGUCUCAAGAUGAUGCCAGUUUUAAAACUUACUUCUGUGUUUUUAGUAGUUAUUAUAAUUGAUAGCUUCUGAUCGAUUUCUUUGCGUCAUUGCAGAGAUGGUUCUUAUGUUCCUGUCAUUGAACACAGCAUGACUUGAGUAUUCCUUGAGAAGUAUAUGAGCUCCAGUCUUGCAGUUUAGAUAUAGUUUCUGUGCAGACAACUAUUUUGGUUGUCGUGAGCUUAGUAGUACGGAAAGAAAAAAAUAUGUAUACAUGUGUCGUGAUCAAAUGAGAGGUCUGGUGUGAUUGAUGGACUUUCAGCAAGGCAGCUCAUAUAACAAGGGCGAAAACAUGGCAAACCGCAUCAGGAGUUUGUGAAGAGUCUAUGCACAUACAAAGAUAUAUUUGAGCUUAAAACCGAGUCAAAGUAUUUGCCUUGCAGCAUGAGAUGCAUGAUUCUAGCUAUCGGUGAGAUUGUACAGGCGUUUACAUAGGACUUCUGACUUCUAAGUUUGGAUGCCUAUAACUCUAUAGAGUAUGAUCACCAUUGAACCUUUUUUUAGUCACUCUCAGUGACAGAUUGGAUGCUUGACAGUGCUUCCGGCUAUUAUUACAACUAGACCAAUGGUCUGCAUUAUGAAUUAGAUUUUGGAUUCAAUUACAGUGACUCAAUAGGACAUUGGGUGACACAAGAUGAAGCAUACUCUCCAGUUAAAGAAAACGUGGCAAGAGGCAACCAAGUGAAGCAUGCCUAGGAUGGUUGGUGAUCAAACUUAAAGUGAUGUCCCCUUAUGAACACACCAAAUGCAGUGUAGUACAUGUUUGAGAUACACUCCCAAACAACUCUAGGACAUAAGGGACGAACAUGCUGUACAAUGUAAAUCCAACCUACGCUAUCGAUUAUGAGCUAGAUCAUAGCCUUGAGCGCAAAUAUUUCCCCGUACUAAAAAAAAAACUCUCAAGCACAGUUCUUGAUACUCACUGAGAGCAUCAUCGGAUUCAUGACGACGAGUUGGAGAGCCGGUUGGAUUUUGAUCCAAGGCAAAGAGAACACUAAUAGUGUGAAGACGUUCCUCGAAAGAGAGAUACGGAAUGGGAGCAUUAAGGUUGAAGAUUUUAAGAGGAGAAGAAGGAUAUAUGUCAUGACCAAAGAGGUUGAGAUAACCCAUUUCAGUUUUGCGGAUGACAUGAUAAUAUUCAAUAUGGAUCAGCUGGGAUCCCGUCGUACCAACAUGCGGAGGUGUUCGCUGUGUUUGAGUCACUCCGGCCACUGAGGUCUGGUUAGUUUUUCCCGCUCAAGAUCUGGAGCGAUCGACGUCGAUUGUUCUUGGUUCGGUGGAACCUGACGGGGUUUAAGUGGGAUCCAGGAUCACACUUAGGAACCUUAAAUCAGAUUCUUAACAAGGAUGUUUUUCGUUUCUCUUCCCAAUAGACGGUGCCAAAAUGUGGAUCCUAAAACCCACACUAGAUAUUUGGUAGUAAUUGUUUGCAAAAAUAUUAGGGAAGAAAUAACAUGGGCAACAAUAUCCUCAGAAGACAGCGAUGUAAUCAGAUUUCGGUUGACAAAAAUGGACUUUAUUAAUAGGGAAUGAUUCAAUUCAUUGGUUACGAAUUGGGUUUCAACAACUAAGAACAAGAUAUCGAUAAUCAGAGUAAGAGGUUGAGGUCGUGUGUAGUGUGCUAGAUGUCUAAGGUUUCUAAUGUUCUUAUCUCCUCUUCUCCUCAAUUCGUUUAUGGUCAUUAUCUUUUCUUUGUUUGUUAGCGCGAUGUUCUC